rnacentral:rRNA from 1 species
GAGAGUUUGAUUAUGGCUCAGGAUGAACGCUGGCGGCGUGCUUAACACAUGCAAGUCGAACGAGAGGCGUGAGAAGAAGUUUUCGGACGGAAAUUCAUGCUUCGAGUGGCGGACGGGUGAGUAACGCGUGGGGAACCUGCCUCAUACAGGGGGAUAACAGCCGGGAACAGCUGUUAAUACCGCAUAAGACCCCAGUGCCGCAUGGCACGGGGGUAAAAACUCCGGUGGUAUGAGAUGGACCCGCGUCCGAUUAGCCAGUUGGCGGGGUAAAGGCCCACCAAAGCGACGAUCGGCAGCCGAUCUGAGAGGAUGACCGGCCACAUUGGGACUGAGACACGGCCCAAACUCCUACGGGAGGCAGCAGUGGGGAAUAUUGCACAAUGGGGGGAACCCUGAUGCAGCGACGCCGCGUGAGUGAAGAAGUAUUUCGGUAUGUAAAGCUCUAUCAGCAGGGAAGAAGAUGACGGUACCUGAGUAAGAAGCCCCGGCUAACUACGUGCCAGCAGCCGCGGUAAUACGUAGGGGGCAAGCGUUAUCCGGAUUUACUGGGUGUAAAGGGAGCGCAGACGGCAGCGUAAGUCUGAAGUGAAAGCCCGCGGCUUAACCGCGGGACUGCUUUGGAAACUACGCGGCUUGAGUGUCGGAGGGGCAGGCGGAAUUCCUGGUGUAGCGGUGAAAUGCGUAGAUAUCAGGAAGAACACCGGUGGCGAAGGCGGCCUGCUGGACGACAACUGACGUUGAGGCUCGAAGGCGUGGGGAGCGAACAGGAUUAGAUACCCUGGUAGUCACGCGGUAAACGAUGAAUACCAGGUGUCGGCGCCCAAAGGGAGUCGGUGCCGUCGCAAACGCAGUAAGUAUUCCACCUGGGGAGUACGUUCGCAAGAAUGAAACUCAAAGGAAUUGACGGGGACCCGCACGAGCAGUGGAGCAUGUGGUUUAAUUCGAAGCAACGCGAAGAACCUUACCAAGUCUUGACAUCCCGCGGACGAUCCCGCAACGGGGAUUUCUCUUCGGAGCAGCGGAGACAGGUGGUGCAUGGUUGUCGUCAGCUCGUGUCGUGAGAUGUUGGGUUAAGUCCCGCAACGAGCGCAACCCCUAUUGUCAGUAGCCAGCAGGUAGAGCCGGGCACUCUAACGAGACUGCCUGGGAUAACCAGGAGGAAGGUGGGGAUGACGUCAAAUCAUCAUGCCCCUUAUGAUUUGGGCAACACACGUGCUACAAUGGCGUAAACAGAGAGAGGCGAAGGAGCGAUCCGGAGCGAAUCUAAAAAUAACGUCUCAGUUCGGACUGUAGUCUGCAACCCGACUACACGAAGCUGGAAUUGCUAGUAAUCGCGAAUCAGCAUGUCGCGGUGAAUACGUUCCCGGGUCUUGUACACACCGCCCGUCACACCAUGGGAGUCAGCAACGCCCGAAGUCAGUGACCCAACCCAUAAAGGAGGGAGCUGCCGAAGGCGGGGCGGAUAACUGGGGUGAAGUCGUAACAAGGUAGCCGUAUCGGAAGGUGCGGUUGGAACACCUCCUUC